rnacentral:rRNA from 1 species
GACGAACGCUGGCGGCGUGCUUAACACAUGCAAGUCGAACGAAGUGGCGAACGGGUGAGUAACGCGUAAUCAACCUGCCCUUCAGAGGGGACAACAGUUGGGAACGAAUGCUAAAAACGCAACCUGCAGGAGGGGAUUGCGUCUGAUUUGCUAGUUGGAGGGGUAACGGCCCACCAAGGCGAUGAUCAGUAGCCGGUCUGAGAGGAUGAACGGCCACAUUGGGACUGAGACACGGCCCAGACUCCUACGGGAGGCAGCAGUGGGGAAUCUUCCGCAAUGGACGAAAGUCUGACGGAGCAACGCCGCGUGAGUGAUGACGGCCUUCGGGUUGUAAAGCUCUGUUAAUCGGGACGCGGUACCGGAAUAGAAAGCCACGGCUAACUACGUGCCAGCAGCCGCGGUAAUAC